rnacentral:lncRNA from 1 species
UAUGACAUUAGCACGGAAGACUAUGUUCAAUUCCUCUGCUCCAUGGGCUACAGCAGCUCAUCCAUUAGCAGCUUAACCAAGGCCGCCAUAAACUGCAAGCAAAACUACCACAUUAAGUUGAAUCUGAACCUCCCUUCUAUCACUAUCCCAAAUCUAAACAGAAAAUUAACGGUGUCGAGAAAGGUGACAAAUGUUGGAACCAUAAAUUCGGUGUAUAAAGCAAUAGCGCAGGCUCCAUUCGGCAUAAGGAUGACAAUAGAGCCACAAAUUUUAAGCUUCAACUCGACCACCAAAAGUGCUUCCUUUGAAAUUACCUUCUUUUCGACUCAAAAAGUGCAGGGAUAUUACAAAUUUGGGAGCUUGACAUGGACCGAUGGCAAGCAUUUCGUUAGGAGUCCAAUAGCAGUAAGGGAUAUUAAAUCAUAUGCAGAUGUAUGAAAUUGCGGAAAUAUUGAAUGCUAUGCAUUAUGCAAUAAAGAAAUUUUAGCGAAUUUGAUAAUUUGAUUGCUUGCCUCUGUUUAAUCUUUAGAAAUCACCAUCUCUGUAACUCCAAUUUGAGCUCUGACACCGAGAGAGAAGCAACCAAUUUACCGGAAGAGAACUGCAAUAAUUUGUAGAGCCAAUAAACGAUGAUACGAUCUGUAGCUGAA